AUGCUAACACUCUGGCAGCAUUGUUCUUACUUAAAUGAUUCAUUCAACAAAUCUGCUGAAGUGAAAAAGCCUGAGCGAGUAACGGAGUUCCACCCUAUUAGACUUGUAAUGUACUCUGCAAACUUAUCUCCCAAGAUUCUUGCAAACCGGUUGAAGGAGAUACUGCCAGAAAUCAUCUCGCCAACACAGUCCGCAUUUGUUCUGGGGAGGAUGAUUGCAGACAAUGUGUUAUUGGCAUAUGCGAUUACUCACCUGAUGCAUAGGAGAAAGGGUGGUCGUGUGGGGCUGGUUGCAGUCAAGCUAGACAUGAGCAAGGCUUGUGACGGGUGGAAUGGAGCUUUUUGGAAAGAGUCCGUUAAGUACCGAGUU
rnacentral:rRNA from 1 species